UACUAGCCCUGAAAAUGGAUGGCGCUGAAGCGUCGUGCUUAUACUCGGCCGUCAGCGGCAUGUGCGGUCUGUUCCGUUUUUUUCAUUAAUUACGGGACGGCCAUGAAGCCCUGACGAGUAGGAGGGUCGCGGCGGUGAGCGCAGAAGGGCUGGCCGCGAGGCCGUCUGGAGCCGCCGUCGGUGCAGAUCUUGGUGGUAGUAGCAAAUACUCCAGCGAGGCCCUGGAGGACUGACGUGGAGAAGGGUUUCGUGUGAACAGCCGUUGCACACGAGUCAGUCGAUCCUAAGCCCUAGGCGAAAGCCGAUGUCGAUGCGGUGUAGGUUUAUUUAUAUAUAUGCACACACCCGUCGGGCGAAAGGGAAUCCGGUUCCUAUUCCGGAACCCGGCAGCGGAACCGUCAAAAAGUCGGGCCCUCGCAAGAGAGUUCGUCGGGGCAACCCAAAAGGACCCGGAGACGCCGUCGGGAGAUCCGGGAAGAGUUUUCUUUUCUGCAUAAGCGUUCGAGUUCCAUGGAAUCCUCUAGCAGGGAGAUAUGGUUUGGAACGCGAAGAGCACCGCAGUUGCAGCGGUGUCCGGAUCUUCCCCUCGGACCUUGAAAAUCCGGGAGAGGGCCACGUGGAGGCGUCGCGCCGGUUCGUACCCAUAUCCGCAGCAGGUCUCCAAGGUGAAGAGCCUCUAGUCGAUAGAAUAAUGUAGGUAA
rnacentral:rRNA from 1 species